CUCCGCAGAUAGAAGGGGAUGGAACGCGGCGGGGAGCGGAGGGACGAGGACAAUGCGAACGCUCACGGCGCGCAGCACGUGCUCGAGGGCCCCCAGAAGCUUGACUCUGGGGGCUGGGACUCGCGGCCCACGGGGAGAGGGUGUUCUCGUGAACUUUCAUGAGGUUCUCUUUGGGGAUGACACCCGGGCCCCGAUGGGGGCAGCAACCCCGGGGGAGGGGUCCUGGGAAUGAAUCGUAGCCCAGCGCUUGGCCUUGAACAGGAUAUUAGUGGAACUGUUGCUGUGGUUGUCAGGAAACGCGAGUGCAGCCGCACAGCUACUGCCAGUUAUGCAGCGAGGAUAUCCGGUGGCCGCGAGGUUUUCCAGGGCAGCUACUUCCACGCUGAGAUCUUUACAAAGUGGGCUGACUGACCGUUGUUCACGAAGCCAGAAGCAUGUAUCUGCAUGCACGAGGCUGGAGAAGGAUCCAGGACCACACAGCUGUCUUCUUAGAUAAAUCUGACCCACUCAGCCUUCUCUGGAGGGAUGUUUCAUGCUGACUCAUGAGCAACAGGAAGCCUGGCUGGCCAUUGCUGAUGUGGGGAGAAACAGCCUUUGAGCCUGGGAAGAACGCUGCAGCCCAACAAGACACGCAGAGACAUAACCUGAGGCCACUCCACCACCAACAGUAGCUAGAAGGAACAGUAGGAAGCGUCACAGACUGGAGCUCAGCUCUUAAGAGAGUCCUUGAGACAGUGGGUCGGAGCCAAGGAGCAGAAUCGCAAACAGCUGGAGUGGGAGCCUCAGCCCAUGGCCACUGAGGGAGGGCUGUGAGGGAAGGCAUCACACAGCUGCAUUCCUGAGACAUUUGUAUUUCCAGAAAGCAGUGGGAAAUACAGGACAUGGGAGAAAGAACACUGUCUAGGGCUCAGGGAACUUUGGUUCCCAUUCCCGCUGGCUACAUGACCCCUGUUCCUCCCUAGGGCCCUCAUUCUGUGUGAGCGCUUUAAGCUGGAAGUGGCAUGCUGGGGUUGAAACCUGAAGGGUGGAUAAAUAGCCAAGAAACAUUGGCAGUUAUCAGUGGAUGAGGAAAUAUAUAUGCAGGUUACAGCAGUAGCAGUAUUACUAACUAGCAAUUAAAGGUCUACCCCCCCCUCCUGAGUCUUGCCAAUAGAUAUAAUGGAAUGACUUACCCCACCCAUCCUGAAAUUUUUGCUAUGUAUUAAAGAUUAUUUGAGUC